CCUACGGGAGGCAGCAGUGGGGAAUUUUGCGCAAUGCUCGUAAGAGUGACGCAGCGACGCCGCGUGAAUGACGAAGGCCUUCGGGUCGUAAAGUUCUUUCGACAGGGAAGAAAAUGCCUAUAAGUAACUGUGUAUGUAUUGACGGUACCUGUAUAAGCAGCCCCGGCUAACUCCGUGCCAGCAGCCGCGGUAAUACGGAGGGGGCGAGCGUUGUUCGGAGGGACUGGGAGUAAAGAGCACGUAGGCGGUGUUGUAAGUCAUUAGUCAAAGACUAGAGCUCAACUUUAGUAAGGCUAGUGAUACUAUAAUACUAGAGUAUCAGAGAGGAUUGCAGAAUUCCUGGUGUAGCGGUGAAAUGCGUAGAUAUCAGGAGGAAUACCGUUAGCGAAGGCGGCAAUCUGGCUGGAAACUGACGCUGAGGUGCGAAAGCGUGGGUAGCAAACAGGAUUAGAUACCCCAGUAGUC
rnacentral:rRNA from 1 species